GAAGGGAAGGGAAGGGAAGGGAAGGGAAGGGAAGGGAGUAUGGUUGUGACGAUGGAUGGAUGGAAGGAUGGAUGGAUGGACAGAUGUGUGGAUGGAUAGAUGGAUGGACGGACGGACAGAUGGAUGGACGGAUGGAUGGACGGAUGGAUGGAUGGACGGACAGAUGGAUGGAUGGAUGGAAGGAUAGAUAGGUGAAUGGAUAGAUGGAUGGAUGGACGGACGGGCAGAUGGAUGGACGGAUGGAUGGACAGAUGGGUGGAUGGAUGGAUGGACGGACGGACAGAUGGAUGGAUGGAUGGAUGGAAGGAAGGAUAGAUAGGUGGAUGGAUAGAUGGAUGGAUGGACGGACGGACAGAUGGAUGGAUGGAUGGAUGGAUGGAUGGGUGGAUGGAUAGAUGGAUAGAUGGAUGGACAGACGGACAGAUGGAUGGACAGAUGGAUGGACGGAUGGGUGGAUGGAUGGAUGGACGGACGGACAGAUGGAUGGAUGGAUGGACGGACGGAUGGGUGGAUGGAUGGAUGGAUGAAGGGAUGGGUGGAUGGAUAGAUGGAUAGAUGGAUGGACAGACGGACAGAUGGAUGGACAGAUGGAUGGACGGAUGGGUGGAUGGAUGGAUGGACGGACAGAUGGACGGAUGGAUGGACAGAUGGGUGGAUGGAUAGGUGGAUGAAUGGACGGACAGACUGGUGGACAGAUGAAUGGGUGGAUGGACAAAUGGAUGGACGGACGGAUGGACGGACGGACAGAUGAACAGGUUGAUAAAUGGACGGACAGAUGGACAGACGUAUGGAAGAAGGGUUCCAACCUCACCCCCCCCCCUCCCCCACCCCCACCCUGAAACCCACCUGAGUCUGGUGGGAGUGGGCGGAGCCUAAUCGUUAGCCCCGCCCCUUACCCAGGCCCCGCCCCCCCAACGUCACCCUUCGCCAACCCAGCCUAUCGCCUGCUGCUGGCCACCUACGCUCAGCCAAUGGGAGGGCACGCCCGCGACCCGCCCGACGGAGCCAAGCCAAUCAACACCGACGGUGUAAUGGAACCCGAGGUGGGGGCGGGGGCCUAUGCUGAAGCUGACGUCACCGGAGGCUCCGCCUACGCCCUCGCUGGCCCCGCCCACUGCCAUGGCCACGCCCCCAGCCCCGCCCUCCCAGCAUUCCCACGUGGCCGCCUCCGCUUCCGGGAGAAGUUGGGGGAGGGGCAAUUCGGAGAGGUGAGGGAAGCCCACCCCCAAGCCACGCCCACUCGGGAAAAGCCACGCCCCCUAAGUUGAGACCACGCCCUGAUAUCGGAAAGCCACGCCCCCAAUCCCGAAGCCACGCCCACCGUUGAAGCCACGCCCAAUCUAUGAGCACACCCUUUAUAUGGCCACACCCACACUGAGACCACGCCCUCCGACCCGUGGCCACGCCCCCUUCCAUAAAACCACGCCCUCUUCCGGAAAGCCACGCCCACCAACAAAGAUCCGCAACUCCUGAGCGAGGCCACGCCCCCUUUCGCAAAGCCACGCCCACAAAACAACAUAACGACGCCCUCUUCCUCUAAGCCACACCCCCAAAGCAAAGCCACGCCCUCCUUCCGAGACCACGCCCCCUUUCAAGAAGCCACGCCCACUGACCCAAACCACGCCCUCAAUUCAGAGCCACGCCCAAUUGAAACGAAACCACGCCCACUAUCUCAAGCCACGCCCCCGUCUCGGAAGCCACGCCUUAUGACAAAAGCCCCGCCCACAAGACCAAGCCACGCCCCCUUCCACGUAGCCACGUCCCCUUCCUCCUAGCCACGCCCCCAUCGCAGUGGCCACGCCCCCUGCAACAAAAGCCCCGCCCACAAGCUCAAAUCACUCCUCCUUGUAGCC
rnacentral:lncRNA from 1 species